AGAGUUUGAUCAUGGCUCAGAUUGAACGCUGGCGGCAUGCCUUACACAUGCAAGUCGAACGGUAACAGGUCUUCGGAUGCUGGCGAGUGGCGAACGGGUGAGUAAUACAUCGGAACGUGCCCGAUCGUGGGGGAUAACGAGGCGAAAGCUUUGCUAAUACCGCAUACGAUCUACGGAUGAAAUCGGGGGAUCUUCGGACCUCCGCGCGGACGCAGCGGCCGAUGGCGGAUCUAGGUAGCUGGGUGGGCUGGCCGUUUUUCUACCGGAAGCUGCUAAGCCCAUGUGUGCGGAUUCUCAGGCCCUCGUUUUCCGGGACACAGCUCUGACUCC
rnacentral:rRNA from 1 species